AAAAGUGAAAGACGGUCUUGCUGUCACUUAUAGAUGGAUCCGCGCUGCAUUAGCUAGUUGGUAAGGUAACGGCUUACCAAGGCAACGAUGCAUAGCCGACCUGAGAGGGUGAUCGGCCACACUGGAACUGAGACACGGUCCAGACUCCUACGGGAGGCAGCAGUAGGGAAUCUUCCGCAAUGGGCGAAAGCCUGACGGAGCAACGCCGCGUGAGUGAUGAAGGUCUUCGGAUCGUAAAACUCUGUUAUUAGGGAAGAACAUAUGUGUAAGUAACUGUGCACAUCUUGACGGUACCUAAUCAGAAAGCCACGGCUAACUACGUGCCAGCAGCCGCGGUAAUACGUAGGUGGCAAGCGUUAUCCGGAAUUAUUGGGCGUAAAGCGCGCGUAGGCGGUUUUUUAAGUCUGAUGUGAAAGCCCACGGCUCAACCGUGGAGGGUCAUUGGAAACUGGAAAACUUGAGUGCAGAAGAGGAAAGUGGAAUUCCAUGUGUAGCGGUGAAAUGCGCAGAGAUAUGGAGGAACACCAGUGGCGAAGGCGACUUUCUGGUCUGUAACUGACGCUGAUGUGCGAAAGCGUGGGGAUCAAACAGGAUUAGAUACCCUGGUAGUCCACGCCGUAAACGAUGAGUGCUAAGUGUUAGGGGGUUUCCGCCCCUUAGUGCUGCAGCUAACGCAUUAAGCACUCCGCCUGGGGAGUACGACCGCAAGGUUGAAACUCAAAGGAAUUGACGGGGACCCGCACAAGCGGUGGAGCAUGUGGUUUAAUUCGAAGCAACGCGAAGAACCUUACCAAAUCUUGACAUCCUUUGACAACUCUAGAGAUAGAGCCUUCCCCUUCGGGGGACAAAGUGACAGGUGGUGCAUGGUUGUCGUCAGCUCGUGUCGUGAGAUGUUGGGUUAAGUCCCGCAACGAGCGCAACCCUUAAGCUUAGUUGCCAUCAUUAAGUUGGGCACUCUAAGUUGACUGCCGGUGACAAACCGGAGGAAGGUGGGGAUGACGUCAAAUCAUCAUGCCCCUUAUGAUUUGGGCUACACACGUGCUACAAUGGACAAUACAAAGGGCAGCGAAACCGCGAGGUCAAGCAAAUCCCAUAAAGUUGUUCUCAGUUCGGAUUGUAGUCUGCAACUCGACUACAUGAAGCUGGAAUCGCUAGUAAUCGUAGAUCAUCAUGCUACGGUGAAUACGUUCCCGGGUCUUGUACACACCGCCCGUCACACCACGAGAGUUUGUAACACCCGAAGCCGGUGGAGUAACCUUUUAGGAGCUAGCCGUCGAAGGUGGGACAAAUGAUUGGGGUGAAGUCGUAACAAGGUAGCCGUAUCGGAAGGUGCGGCUGGAUCACCUCCUUU
rnacentral:rRNA from 1 species